rnacentral:miRNA from 1 species
GUCUGUUUUACCAAGGUCC